CCUUGACAUGCAGAGAACUUCCAGAGAUGGAUUGGUGCCUUCGGGAACUCUGACACAGGUGCUGCAUGGCUGUCGUCAGCUCGUGUCGCGAGAUGUUGGGUUAAGUCCGUAACGAGCGCAACCCUUGUCCUUAGUUACCAGCACGUUAUGGUGGGCACUCUAAGGAGGACUGCCGGUGGACAAACCGGAGGGAAGGUGGGGAGUGACGUCAAGUCAUCAUGGCCCUUACGGCCUGGGCUACACACGUGCUACAAUGGUCGGUACAAAGGGUUGCCAAGCCGCGAGGUGGAGCUAAUCCCAUAAAACCGAUCGUAGUCCGGAUCGCAGUCUGCAACUCGACUGCGUGAAGUCGGAAUCGCUAGUAAUCGUGAAUCAGAAUGUCACGGUGAAUACGUUCCCGGGCCUU
rnacentral:rRNA from 1 species